UAAGGAAUAUUGGACAAUGGGCGCAAGCCUGAUCCAGCCAUGCCGCGUGAAGGAUUAAGGCCCUAUGGGUCGUAAACUUCUUUUAUACGGGACAAAACCCCUCUACGUGUAGAGGGUUGAUGGUACUGUAAGAAUAAGGGUCGGCUAACUUCGUGCCAGCAGCCGCGGUAAUACGAAGGACCCGAGCGUUAUCCGGAUUUAUUGGGUUUAAAGGGUGCGUAGGCGGACUUAUAAGUCAGUGGUGAAAUCUCCAGGCUUAACCUGGAAACUGCCAUUGAAACUGUUUGUCUUGAGUACAUUUGAGGCGGGCGGAAUGUGUCAUGUAGAGGUGAAAUUCUUAGAUAUGACACAGAACACCAAUUGCGAAGGCAGCUCGCUAAACUGUAACUGACGCUGAUGCACGAAAGCGUGGGUAGCAAACAG
rnacentral:rRNA from 1 species